ensembl:lncRNA
UGGGGACAGGCCCUGGUUGGUGGAACAUGAAGACAAGGCCUGGUUGGUGGAGCAUGGGGACAGGCCCUGGUUGGUGGAGCAUGAAGACAAGGCCUGGUUGAUGCAGCAUAGGGACAGGGCCUGGUUGGUGGAGCAUGGAGACAGGCCCUGGUUGGUGGAGCAUGAAGACAGGCCCUGGGUUGGUGCAGCAUGAAGACAAGGCCUGGUUGGUGGAGCAUGGGGACAGGCCCUGGUUGGUGGAGCAUGAAGACAAGGCCUGGUUGGUGCAGCAUAGGGACAGGGCCUGGUUGGUGGAGCAUGGAGACAGGCCCUGGUUGGUGGAGAAUGAAGACAAGGCCUGGUUGGUGCAGCAUAGGGACAGGGCCUGGUUGGUGGAGCAUGGCGACAGGCCCUGGUUGGUGGAGCAUGAAGACAAGGCCUGGUUAGUGCAGCAUGAAGACAAGGCCUGGUUGGUGGAGCAUGAAGACAAGGCCUGGUUGGUGGAGCAUGAAGACAAGGCCUGGUUAGUGCAGCAUAGGGACAGGGCCUGGUUGGUGGAGCAUGAAGACAAGGCUUGGUUGGUGGAGCAUGAAGACAGGACAUCAACAGAGCUUGGUGUUUAUUACCAGAGGUCAAGACAUCAACAGAGCUUGGUGUUUAUUACCAGAGGUCAGGACAUCAACAGAGCUUGGUGUUUAUUACCAGAGGUCAGGACAUCAACAGAGCUUGGUGUUUAUUACCAGAGGUCAGGACAUCAACAGAGCUUGGUGUUUGUCAGAUGUAUUAUAGGUCAUCAGAUGACCUAAUGUUGGAGAAAUACCCCACAAUGGUACAGAUCAUGAAUACUCCCAUUUGCCCUGGUAAAAUGUAUUUAGUAACAUAAAGAAAAUUACAUUUUCACAAACUCUGGGCAGAGUGAGUGUGCGUGUUUGAGGCAGCCCAAUUCUGAUAUUUAUUUCACCAUUUUUAUAAUUUAACCUUUAUUUAACUAGGCAAGUCAGUUGAGAACAAAUUCUAAUUUUCAAUGAAGGUCUAGGAACAGUGUGUUAACUGCCUUGUUCAGGGGAACAGUGGGUUAACUGCCUUGUUCAGGGGAACAGUGGGUUAACUGCCUUGUUCAGGGGAACAGUGUGUUAACUGCCUUGUUCAGGGGAACAGUGGGUUAACUGCCUUGUUCUUAGGGGAACAGUGUGUUAACUGCCUUGUUCUUAGGGGAACAGUGUGUUAACUGCCUUGUUCUUAGGGGAACAGUGUGUUAACUGCCUUGUUCUUAGGGGAACAGUGUGUUAACUGCCUUGUUCUUAGGGGAACAGUGUGUUAACUGCCUUGUUCAGGGGAACAGUGUGUUAACUGCCUUGUUCAGGGGAACAGUGUGUUAACUGCCUUGUUCAGGG